UACAGGGGGGGCAAGCGUUGUUCGGAAUUACUGGGCGUAAAGGGCCAGUAGGCGGCCUGCUAAGUCCGACGUGAAAUCCCCAAGCUUAACUUGGGAACUGCGUCGGAUACUGGUGGGCUUGAAUUCGGGAGAGGGAUGCAGAAUUCCAGGUGUAGCGGUGAAAUGCGUAGAUAUCUGGAGGAAUACCGGUGGCGAAGGCAGGUCUCUGGGCCGAUACUGACGCUGAGGAGCGAAAGCGUGGGGAGCGAACAGG
rnacentral:rRNA from 1 species